CCCGCUUCUUCUUUGGGUACAAGUAAGCGAUUAAGCGCAAAGCUGCCUCCUUGGUAGGUUUUAGGAUUGCCUCACCCUUUGGGUGUGCAUGUUUUUUUUAGAAGAUAAUGGAGUUCUGGAUGGAGUUCUUGGCGAAUAGUUGGGGGGCAUCAACGGCAUGGUCGGGGUCACCUUCAGCUAUCCACUCGACACGCUCCAUAUCCACCUGCAACAACCAUCGUCGACUCCCGCUUCCUCGAAUUCCUUCGCCCUUGCCCGACGAUCCCUCCCGACCGUCGACCUCCUUCGUAGCAUCGUCCCUCGUGAGGGUCUCACCGUGCUCUACCACGGCAUGGUCGCGCUGCUCACCUCCGUUAGCUUUCAGGUACCCGUCCUCCCCUUUCUAUGAUUAUCUUCAAGGGAACUAGAUCGAAUGAAGCUCAGAUCCAAGUAAGCAGUCCCUUCUCUUAGCUUAUCAAAUCAUUGAAUGCCAUGAAGAAUAGUGAGGAAGAAAAUCGAUGAGGAGCUCAAGAAGCUUGCUGAAAAGUUCUGGGAAUUAAGAGGAAGAUGUUUGCUAAGAAGCGCUACGUCGAGAAGGCUUUGAUGAAGAAGACAUAAGCUUCCUAUACAUCUCUCUAGUUUCUAAGUUCUUACUGAUGUAUCCAUGUUGUUGUUAUUGUCUUUCCCAUUUAUAAUCAGUUCAUAAUCGUGUGGUGCAGUUGAAAUAAUAGGCAAGUUUCAGUGAUUAGAGACAAUGAAGUUUUUUGUUUUGAGCUUAGUCUCUUAAAACAAAUUCAUAGUUGUAUUUAAUGCUCAGCUAUAUAAAAUUGUAAGCAAUAGAACUAAUUCUUUUUUCAGGCCAAAACAACAAAGAAGAUUGUGUUGACACUUCAAUGCCAGAGCUAUAAGCAUUAUUCACGACAUCCAAUAAAAAUUUAUAUGCAAGCACUUUGAGAUUGGAGGAGACAAAAAAGGACAAGGGAACUUCUCUCUUCUCGUUUGUUUUUUUCCAAAUUCUAGGAGCAGCAACUACAUGCUAUGUGGCACUACAUCUGAACCUCAGGAGUGUGACUGGAAAGUACUUCGACGAAGAACUAUCAAGAAGGCUUUGGGAUUUAAGCGAGAAGAUGGUUAAAGCCAAUGAGUAAAGAGCAUUCAAGUUAAGAGGAUAAGUAGCAUCUAUCAAGAUCCUUUAAGUUCAUGUAAUAAGAUGUAGUCGAUAGGAGUAGUUUUGAGUAUGUUCUAAUUAAAAUUUCUUUGUAUGCGAGUAAUUAUGUUUGUUAUAAAAGUGUAGGGAUGAUAAUUUAUAUAUUUAUCUUAGUUGUUUAUUUAAUAAUAUGUUAUUGAUUGAAGUA